CAUAACAAAAAACUAACACAAAUUAAAAGUCACUCAAAUGAAAAUAAAAUCAUCCAUUCGUUCCUAGUAUCAUCAAAAUCGGUCUAUAGGUUUAGGCUUGUUUAUUUGGGUCAUCGGAUAGUCGUGGGAGAUGGAAGCGUUGAUGUUGACGCGGACGAGCGCUGGUGAGCAUCGUUGUCGUUGAACUCCGGUGAUGAAGAGAUUGUGGUGUGUGAUGUCCAUAGUGACGAGGGAACUCCAUGACACAGAUGGACUCGGUGGACGGGGCCUCGGGUGACGGCGUCGACCCCAAGUGGUGGCAGCGACAAAGCUCCGUUGUGCGCGUGGCCAACAACGAUAAACGGCUGGGAAAUGAUGUCUAGGUUGUUGUAUUCGGUGAAUAGGUUCGGCUGGUGGAAGGAAUCUAUACGGAAUGCUCACCUGCGGCGACGGUAGGCUAAAAAACAGCGAAGAUGAGGCUGUGUUGCGGAA
rnacentral:lncRNA from 1 species